rnacentral:rRNA from 1 species
GUUCGGACUGUAGUCUGCAACCCGACUACAUGAAGCUGGAAUCGCUAGUAAUCGCAGGUCAGCAUACUGCGGUGAAUACGUUCCCGGGUCUUGUACACACCGCCCGUCACACCAUGGGGAGCCGGAAAUGCCCGAAGCCAGUGACCCAACCUUAGGGAGGGAGCUGUCGAAGGUGGAGCCGGUAACUGGGGUGAAGUCGUAACAAGGUAUC